UACGGGGGGGGCAAGCGUUGUUCGGAAUUACUGGGCGUAAAGGGCUCGUAGGUGGCCAACUAAGUCGGACGUGAAAUCCCCAGGCUCAACUUGGGAACUGCGUCCGAUACUGGAUGGCUUGAAUUCGGGAGAGGGAUGCAGAAUUCCAGGUGUAGCGGUGAAAUGCGUAGAGAUAUGGAGGAACACCAGUGGCGAAGGCGACUUUCUGGUCUGCAACUGACACUGAGGCGCGAAAGCGUGGGGAGCAAACAGG
rnacentral:rRNA from 1 species